GGAUGAACGCUAGCGGUGUGCUUAAAGCAUGCAAGUCGAACGUGAUCCUUGGAUUCGUUCAAGGUGAAAGUGGCGAACGGGUGAGUAACGCGUUGGUGAUCUGCCCCGGAGUGGGGGAUAACUAUCGGAAACGAUAGCUAAUACCCCAGAUGUUAUCGUAUUUGGAAAGCGAUAACUAAAGUUCAGGCGCUCCGGGAGGAGCCUGCGUCCCAUCAGCUAGUUGGUAGGGUAAUGGCCUACCAAGGCUCAGACGGGUAGGGGGCGUGAGAGCGUGGCCCCCCACACUGGUACUGACACACGGACCAGAUGCCUACGGGUAGCAGCAGCUAGGAAUAUUGGGCAAUGGGCGAAAGCCUGACCCAGCAACACCGCGUGAAGGACGAAGGCCUUCGGGUUGUAAACUUCUUUUCGAGGGGAUGAGAACGGACAGUACCCUCGGAAUAAGGCCCGGCUAACUACGUGCCAGCAGCCGCGGUAAUACGUAGGGGCCAAGCGUUAUCCGGAUUUACUGGGCGUAAAGCGCAUGUAGGCGGUCGAUCAAGUCGGAUGUGAAAGCUCCUGGCUUAACUGGGAGAGGUCAUUCGAAACUAGUCGGCUGGAGGGUGGUAGAGGAGAGCGGAAUUCCAGGUGUAGCGGUGAAAUGCGUAGAUAUCUGGAGGAACACCAGUGGCGAAAGCGGCUCUCUGGACCAUUCCUGACGCUGAGAUGCGAAAGCCAGGGGAGAGAACGGGAUUAGAAACCCCGGUAUUCCUGGCCGUAAACGAUGUCAACUAGGCGUAGGAGGUUAUUAACCCCUUCUGUGCUGUAGCAAACGCGUUAAGUUGACCGCCUGGGGACUACGGCCGCAAGGCUAAAACUCAAAGGAAUUGACGGGUCCCCGCACAAGCAGCGGAGCGUGUGGUUUAAUUCGAAGCAACGCGCAGAACCUUACCAACCCUUGACAUGUGUAUCGCGGUUCCAGAGAUGGUUCCUUCAGUUCGGCUGGAUACAACACAGGUGCUGCAUGGCUGUCGUCAGCUCGUGUCGUGAGAUGUUCGGUUAAGUCCGGCAACGAGCGCAACCCACACUUCUAGUUGCCAGCAUUCAGUUGGGCACUCUAGAAGAACUGCCGAUGAUAAGUCGGAGGAAGGUGUGGAUGACGUCAAGUCCUCAUGGCCCUUACGGGUUGGGCUACACACGUGCUACAAUGGCAGUGACAAUGGGUUAAUCCCAAAAAGCUGUCUCAGUUCGGAUUGGGGUCUGCAACUCGACCCCAUGAAGUCGGAAUCGCUAGUAAUCGCGUAACAGCAUGACGCGGUGAAUACGUUCCCGGGCCU
rnacentral:rRNA from 1 species